rnacentral:rRNA from 1 species
CUUUACUGACGCUAAAGCUCGAAGGUGCGGGUAUCGAACAGGAUUAGAUACCCUGGUAGUCCGCACGGUAAACGAUGGAUGCCCGCUGUUUGCGAUAUACUGUGAGCGGCCAAGAGAAAUCGUUAAGCAUCCCACCUGGGGAGUACGCCGGCAACGGUGAAACUCAAAGGAAUUGACGGGGGCCCGCACAAGCGGGGGAACAUGUGGUUUAAUUCGAUGAUACGCGAGGAACCUUACCCGGGCUUGAACUGCAGCGGAAGGAUACAGAGAUGUUGACGCCCUUCGGGGCCGCUGUGGAGGUGCUGCAUGGUUGUCGUCAGCUCGUGCCGUGAGGUGUCGGCUUAAGUGCCAUAACGAGCGCAACCCUUUUCAUUAGUUGCCAUCAGGUCAUGCUGGGCACUCUGAUGAUACUGCCACCGUAAGGUGUGAGGAAGGUGGGGAUGACGUCAAAUCAGCACGGCCCUUACGUCCGGGGCUACACACGUGUUACAAUGGGUGGUACAGAGAGUCGGUCGUCUGCAAAUGCGAUCCAAUCCUUAAAGCCAUCCUCAGUUCGGAUUGGGGUCUGCAACCCGACCCCAUGAAGCUGGAUUCGCUAGUA